AUUUGUAGCAAUACAGAUUGAUGGCGACCGGCGCACGGGUGAGUAACGCGUAUGCAACUUACCUAUCAGAGGGGAUAAUCCGGCGAAAGUCGGACUAAUACCGCAUAAAGCAGGGAUCCCGCAUGGGAAUAUUUGCUAAAGAUUCAUCGCUGAUAGAUAGGCAUGCGUUCCAUUAGGCAGUUGGCGGGUAACGGCCCACCAAACCGACGAUGGAUAGGGGUUCUGAGAGGAAGGUCCCCACAUUGGUACUGAGACACGGACCAAACUCC
rnacentral:rRNA from 1 species